rnacentral:lncRNA from 1 species
UUCUGGCUGCUUUGGCGUCUACAGUGUGUUGCUUUCUGGGCUGGAUUCCACUGUUCGGAGAAGGGGAAUGAUUUACAACAAUCACAGAGCACAGUGCAGAGCCCACAUCAAUGUCUGGCUCCUUUAUUAGUGUAAGCUUGCAACACAAAAUAGUUACAUUUGUUUUCAGUGCCCAAAUAUGACAGACAUAUCUUGAUCAUUUUCAAUUCUUUCCCAUUGCAUUCUCCAUCUCCAAAAUGACUGCCCUUUUACUCCCAUCUCUCCUUCAUUUUGCUCCUUUAUUUAUUCAUAUUUUAGGCUUCAGUUGCUGCAGUAGUUGCAUUGGAGGGCAACUUCUGUCCCUGAAUAUUUCAGUGCAGGAAUUGCCUGGGUCCCCAUGCUGUCUCUCAUGCAAAGAGCGGACCGGAGGAGGACUCCCGAAGCUCAGAGGGAAGGAAGUCAUUACAGGGCCCCGGCAGAAGCAGGUCAUGUGCUACAGCUGCUCAUAGUUUAAGAGGAAGAAACAGCGGACCUUAAACCUGGAACCCGACUCUUUCAAAAUGUUUGUGAGCAGCCCAAGAAAAACAUCCUCCUGAGCCUUAUCUAAUAAGCCUGAUCCCUAAUCGGCUCAGUGUGUGCCCGUUUCCCUAGACUUUGCA